GUUUUUAUAAAAAUCUGGCUAUCCCUAGGCUAUAGUGCUGUUAACAAAAUUAUGACUAAUAAUUUAUAAUAGAUCUAUUUUGAACGUCAAAACCGCCAAGUUGCUAGAUUCAUCAUCUGUGUGUGUCUUAUAAACCCAGAGAAUCAAGAUCUAGUCUAGAUCUGUAUUUUAUUUAGAAUCUAACUCUAGACUAGAUAUAGGAUAAAUCUCAAGUCUGGAUAAUAAUAGACCUAGAUGAUCUGCUUCAUGAUCUUAGGACUUAGCUUGUUCAUGGCUUAUCGCCUUGGCUUAUGG